ensembl:miRNA Mir3074-1 microRNA mir-3074-1
GGGCUCGACUCCUGUUCCUGCUGAACUGAGCCAGUGUGUGAAAUGAGAACUGAUAUCAGCUCAGUAGGCACCGGAGGGCGGGUCC